ACUGAGACGCAGACUGAUCCCAACUCCCAGCUCUCUCAGAUUAUUUGGCUGGGAAAUAACACUGAGGAUCAAUGGAAGAUCACAUCCAUUUGGAGGUAAGAAGAGAAUAGCAUGCUUGUUCAGAGGAUGGUUUUUUGCUUAGCACCGUUGUGCUCAGGACUGGACUCCAAAAGCAAGCUCAAGUUCACGGAGAACAGCCUUUACAUUAAAGCACGAAUGCACCCUGGCCAAGGGGACAAUGUGACACACAAAGGAGGUGACCCUGCAGUGCGACAGAUCUGAAUGCACGGAGUACAGAUGGAGCAUCUAGGAGGGAUGUGGUCUGAGGAAU